rnacentral:rRNA from 1 species
CGAAGGGGGCUAGCGUUGCUCGGAAUUACUGGGCGUAAAGGGCGCGUAGGCGGAUAUUUAAGUCGGGGGUGAAAGCCCAGGGCUCAACCCUGGAAUUGCCUUCGAUACUGGAUAUCUUGAGUUCGGGAGAGGUGAGUGGAAUGCCGAGUGUAGAGGUGAAAUUCGUAGAUACUCGGCGGAACACCAGUGGCGAAGGCGACUCACUGGCCCGAUACUGACGCUGAGGCGCGAAAGCGUGGGGAGCAAACAGGAUUAGAUACCCUGGUAGUCCACGCUGUAAACGAUGAGUGCUAGUUGUCGGCAUGCAUGCAUGUCGGUGACGCAGCUAACGCAUUAAGCACUCCGCCUGGGGAGUACGGCCGCAAGAUUA